UACGGAGGGUGCAAGCGUUAAUCGGAAUUACUGGGCGUAAAGAGUGUGUAGGCGGUGCUCUAAGUUCGGUGUGAAAUCUCCCGGCUUAACUGGGAGGGUGCGCCGGAAACUGGAGUGCUCGAGCGUGGGAGAGGAAAGCGGAAUUCCUGGUGUAGCGGUGAAAUGCGUAGAUAUCAGGAGGAACACCUGCGGUGUAGACGGCUUUCUGGACCAUUGCUGACGCUGAGACACGAAAGCGUGGGUAGCAAACAGG
rnacentral:rRNA from 1 species